AUCUUCUUCCACAUAGAUGAACGGACACUGAUAUAAAAAAAAAACUCCAUUUUCCUGAUUUUCUUCUUCACGGGUAGAGAAACAGAACAAAGAAUAGAGAGAGAGUAGCAAAGAGGGAGAGAGAGAGAAGGAAGAAUUAAAGGCUAACAAUUUCGGCGAGUUUCUCGCCGGAAAAAGUCGUUGUUGCUUUAAAAUUGGGUUGUGAUCCAUUUUCCGGCACUGUCUGAGCCUUUUUCGAAACUCCGGCAAAACAACAAUCAAAUCAGUUUCCUCCCGUCGUCUUUUCUCGCUCAAAUUUCACUGGAGAUUAUAUAAUGGUCAUCGACGAUUUUCUAAUCUCGUUAGCUUCUGUGAGUUUCUAGCUUCGUUGGGAUUAAUUGGUUAUAGAAUUAGUUAUUCAAGUUUGGUUCGUCGGGUUAGAAAUUCGAGUUGCGGGUUCGUGGAUCGAAGUUCGGUUAAAGGUUUUCGGUGCGGACUUUCUUUAUUCUAAUAAUAUUGAAUUCAAAAGUUACAAAAAAAGGUCCAAUUCUACUCUUUCACCUCUUUUAUUUCAUUAUUGAUGAUAUCUGGUGCAUUGAAUUGAAUACCAUGUUGGUUGAUCCGUGAUGAUGUAAAUUGUUUGUUGUUUUGAUUAAUCGUUUGAUUCCCUUGAUUGUGAAUUGAUUAUGGAUUAUAAUGAAACGGUAUCUCGUUUGAGAAUUAAAAUUGGUUGUUUUGGGGCAGAAGUUAAAAGUUGAUAAAGUGAUUAUUUUUGUUUUGAUUCAUUGAUAUCGAACUUGGUAGUAUCGUGAUAGUCGAGUGGAAUAGGCAAAUAUAGAUUCGGGUAGGCAAAUUUAGAACUUGUGUUUUGGUUGAAUGUUGGAAUGUGCGUGUGAGUGUCUCUUUCUAGUUUAUCGUAUUUAAUUCAUAUGUAUUCAUUUAGCCGGGGAAUGUCCCAAGACACAUUAUAUUUAUUCACCGGGGAAUGCCCCGACGUAUUGUGUUGGUGAAAGACAUUCGUGAUGAAGGACCGUGGCAUCGGGUGAAGCACGAGAUCGUAGUUAGGAUUAAUGUAG
rnacentral:lncRNA from 1 species